GCCCCGGUAAACGGCGGCCGUAACUAUAACGGUCCUAAGGUAGCGAAAUUCCUUGUCGGGUAAGUUCCGACCUGCACGAAUGGCGUAAUGAUGGCCAGGCUGUCUCCACCCGAGACUCAGUGAAAUUGAACUCGCUGUGAAGAUGCAGUGUACCCGCGGCAAGACGGAAAGACCCCGUGAACCUUUACUAUAGCUUGACACUGAACACUGGUCCUUGAUGUGUAGGAUAGGUGGGAGGCUUUGAAGCGUGG
rnacentral:rRNA from 2 species